CCCUGACGGCAACACCGCGAAGCCAGGGCAGGGGAACACACACCCCACAGCACCUCGGACCCCAAAGGGGUUUGGGGCCACGUUCUGUGCUGGGACGUGGGGCACACGAAGCGGGGGCAGCCCCCACGGGCAGACCCAGCAGGGAGGUGCUGCCCAGACAGGGGGGGCUGGCACCCUGCCCCCGGCAUUAUCGGCAUUCCUCAGCUAUCGGACGCGGGUCCCGUGCUGCCUGGCAUUCCUUCCCGUGGCCCAGGGGGAGAGCGGAGAACGGCGGAGGAGAAGCGGCGGCGAGGAGGAGGCCCCCGGGGAGCCGCAGCGAGCUCGGGGCAGGAGCUGAGGGCGGCAGCGGCUCCGCUCGCCUCGCUGCGAGGACGCGGACGGCGUGGGGAUCAGCCUGUUCCCAAGCGCCUGGCACGGCCCCCGGCCACGGAUGUUUCCAUCAUCAGACGGAGCCGUUCCUCCGUUCCUACGCCGCUUUCCAAGCCUCGCCUCGCUCCCUGGCUCCGCAGCCAGGACCCAGCACUGCAGCCACGAGAACGCAGAGGGUGCAGCUCCGGCUCAGCCACCGCCUUGCUUGGUGUCUGCAGAAGCCUGGGCCCGGGCGGGUUUCCAGCAGAGGUCAGAAAUUUGGGACACCUGGAAGGGGCUCCCCGAGUCGGUAAGGGAACCGGGUGUUAAGACCCGGCCCCUUAAGCCCCCCAAAUUGCUCGUUUUGUGCAAAACACCAACCUUCACACACAAACCACCUGCUAUGACACAAAUCGGUCCCCGCAAAAUAAAAUCACCGAACCCCGCGGGCUGGGAAGGACCUUCAGCAUUACUCAAGCCCGCGCGCCGUGCCGGGGCUCCUGCCCGCUCCUUACCUGGUGAAUCGGACCUUGCAGAUGUCGCACUCGUAGGGCUUCUCGCCGGUGUGGGUGCGGAUGUGGCGCGGCAGCUUGCCGGCCCCCUGGAUCACCUUUUCACAGAUGGGGCACUUUUGGAAUGCUUUCGCCCUGAUCUUCUUCUCCACCUUCUGGGACCAGGACGGGUAGACGUCGCCCUC